rnacentral:antisense_RNA from 1 species
AGGUAAAGAACUUCCUCUUUCAACGCAUCUCAAAAUUUGGCGUGCAUGCAGAUCACCUGCAGAGUAUGAUUAUUCAUCUUUACAUUGCCUUGUUUUGAGAUGAUGAAACUGAGGUUCAAGCCAAUGACAAGCCUGAAGCCACAUGGCUAGUGAAUGGUAGAGUCAGAACUCAAACCCAAAUCCAUCUGACCCCAAACUUCAUGUAUCUUGAACUACAGGCUCCAUCUCACUGUUCACACUCUCACCCACCUCCACCCAUCAGAGGUGCCUCUAGACCUUUGCUUGUGUUGUUUGUUCUCUGCCUGACAUGCCUCCCCCUCAAUCACUCUCAGUUGAAACCUGGCUUAGUCAUCAAGUGCCUGCUCACCAGCAAGACUUCUUCUGUUCAGGGAGC